rnacentral:lncRNA from 1 species
GAGGUUCUAUUUUCUAUUCUGCUGGAUUGCUACUGUUAGAUGUAUACCCUAGAAGUUAGAUUAACUGAUAUUUGUAUCAUACUUUUAGGGUAUAAUUCAUAAUUUGACUUUGAUAUUAAUAUAAUUGGGUUAUUUUCAUUCACAUUGUACUCAAUAGUAUCUGUAAAUCGUUCAUUGGGUUAAUAGGUAAGAUAACAUAUAUU